rnacentral:rRNA from 1 species
GACGAACGCUGGCGGCGUGCUUAACACAUGCAAGUCGAACGGAAAGGCCCUGCUUUUGUGGGGUGCUCGAGUGGCGAACGGGUGAGUAACACGUGAGUAACCUGUCCUUGACUUUGGGAUAACUUCAGGAAACUGGGGCUAAUACCGGAUAGGAGCUCCUGCUGCAUGGUGGGGGUUGGAAAGUUUCGGCGGUUGGGGAUGGACUCGCGGCUUAUCGGCUUGUUGGUGGGGUAGUGGCUUACCAAGGCUUUGACGGGUAGCCGGGCUGCUAGGGGGACCGGCCACGUUGGGACUGGGAUGCGGCCCAGACUCCUACGGGAGGCAGCAGUGGGGAAUAUUGCACUAUGGGCGGAAGCCUGAUGCAGCAACGCCGCGUGCGGGGUGACAGCCUGCGGUUUGUAAUCCACUGUCGCCUGUGACGAGGCGUGAGUGACGGUAAUGGGUGAAGAAGCACCGGCUAACUACGUG